GGUUCAGCUGGAAAAGGGGUUACUAGGGAACUAAUUAGGUUCAGCUGGCUCCAACUGCUUGUGACCUUUUAAAACCCUCCCCUGCAUGGAGGGUGGGGGGGAGAGAUAGUGAGGGAAGUUGUUAGUAGGCUGGGUGCAGCAAGACACUGAACCCUUUCAGGAAGGCAGGCUGCACUCCCCUUCCCCUCCAGAAGGGAAGGAAAACAAGCACAAGGGACUGACUGGGGAAAGGACUAGCCAGACCCUGUGCUACUGGUAAGGAUUUGCCUUGCCCAAGCCUGUGUCUCCAAGGCUAAAAAGGACUGAGCCUGCUGCGAAGAAGCACUUCUUGAGCCCCAGCGUCCUGGACAAAUUCCAGCUCAGGUUUGUUACACUAUACCAUCUUUACCUCAAAGUUUAAGUGAUAUGAGACGUCUUCUGGGUCACUGGCUGAGCAUCCCUCCACAUAAUCAAGAAAGACAGCUGUGCUGCUAGUGGACAACUUCUCAGACAGCAAAUUCCAGUUUUCAGAAAUGUACCUCUCCCACACCUUUUAAUAAAGAAACUUUUUAAGAUGUUCCAAACAAAAUUGCUAAAACUGUGGAGACAUCAAGACAUAGGACACUUCACAUAUUGAGACAGAAAUUUUGCCAAAGACACAAAUUGAAACAAAAGUCUCCAUCUUUAAUUCAUUGUCUGUAGGUUACUCUGAGAUCAGAGGACAUCUGAUAAGUGGAAAUUAUAUUAUAUUAUUAAUUUAUUAAUAACUUUGCUUUAUGACUUAUGCUGUUGAUGGGACUUUUCAGAUAGAGGUGAAUGACAAUUGCAAAGUGCAUUUUUUUAAAUCAAACAAAAAAACUUAUUUAUGAGGCCAAAUUGUUACAAGUGAUGUAAAAAUACAUGCAUCAUAGUUCUAUCUAUUGUGGUUAUAAGUAUGCAUUUGAUGGCCUAUUUUCCUGAAAUUCACCAUUUAUCAUCAAGCAAUUAAUAACACAAAAUUUCCAUUUAACAGAAGUAAAACAAAGGCAAAGGAAAAAAAUUGCAUGAAAACUAUUACUUACCAUUUUAUGCCAUUUCU